CCAACAUACUAGAUUUCUGGUGAUGACAAUAGCAGCAGAUAGUAUGCGGCUCAGUUAAUACUAAAAACAAUUGAUUUUAGUAAUUAGUGGACUAUGAGUGUGUGUUUGGCCAUCCAGAUUUCAUAACUACAACUGAUGUUCAAUUACAAGGGAUAUUAAUCAGUCUCCGUGGACUUUACACUGUGCCUAAUUUCAUCCUCAGAGACUGAUGUGUAAGCUUAAAGUAAAGACAUCAAAUCAAAGUAUCAGCCAUCAAGAGGAAGAACAUUCAAAAUCAUAUUGUGAUACACAAAUCAAGCAAGUCUAUGACCAGCAUUAUGAUACAGGCCAAGAAAAAGCUGGAUAUUUGUUUGGAAGGGUGGCACAAAAAAGAUGGGUUAUCACUAGGGAAACAAGCUCGGAAUACAGUUCACUGUUGGGACAUCAAGCCAAAUACUUCUAAACUUAUUUGAAUCAUUUUUGCUGUUUAUUAUAAUUCAUCCAAUUGUCUUAUUAAAUAUAUAAAUUUAUAUAUAUACACAAUUCCUAAUAUAGAAUUUCUAAAAAUGUUUUAUUAUA